rnacentral:lncRNA from 1 species
UGCCUCUCACCUGCUCUUUUUCCUCUGUUUUCUCAAUACCUCCGUCUUUCUAUUUUCUUCUCCACCUUAUGAAACUGAAGGUGAUACUUUUGCCUGUAUCGUCUCGAAAGGAACAUCAAUCCUAAUAAAUGCGAUUUUAAGAAUCGACUCCUGUUUGGAGCUUUGCAAUCUGCUGGUUGUCAAGAAAGUGUCCAGUGGACUGCUCUGCUUCAUUCUCUAAAUCCAACUUAGACACCACCACCCGUUUCAAUCUUUGAGGUCCAAUUUCAUAUCUGAAGGUAGAACUUACUAUUCUUACGGCAAUCGAGAACGUAAAUUCUGCAAGUUCUGGGGAGUCAUCUCAGUUUCAACAAAUUGCAAGUGUUCAUUCUGUGCUUGAGUCUGAAAUUGCUCCAAUGAAAUCAAUUCACAUUCACCCCUCCUUUCCAUCUUUAAAUUCCAA